AAAAGAAACUAACAAGGAUUCCCCUAGUAGCGGCGAGCGAAGCGGGAAGAGCUCAAAUUUAUAAUCUGGCACCUUCGGUGUCCGAGUUGUAAUCUCUAGAAGUGUUUACCGCGUUGGACCGCACACAAGUCUGUUGGAAUACAGCGGCAUAGUGGUGAGACCCCCGUAUAUGGUGCGGACGCCCAACGCUUUGUGAUACACUUUCGAAGAGUCGAGUUGUUUGGGAAUGCAGCUCAAUUGGGUGGUAAAUUCCAUCUAAAGCUAAGUAUUGGCGAGAGACCGAUAGCGAACAAGUACCGUGAGGGAAAGAUGAAAAGCACUUUGGAAAGAGAGUUAACAGUACGUGAAAUUGUUGGAAGGGAAACGCUUGAAGUCAGACUUGCUUGCCGAGCAAUCGGUUUGCAGGCCAGCAUCAGUUUUCCGGGGUGGAUAAUGGUAGAGAGAAGGUAGCAGUUUCGGCUGUGUUAUAGCUCUUUGCUGGAUACACCUUGGGG
rnacentral:rRNA from 1 species